UCCUUCUUAGCUCAGUUGGUAGAGCGCGUCACUAGUAUUUCUGUAAUUCAAUGACGAGGUCAGUCGUUCAAGUCGGCUAGAAGGAA